UGCGUCCUUGGUGGAGAGGUCAUCCCAGCCAGGUCAGGGUCUCCUGGAAAAGGCAUAUGAAUGUGAGCUGGAUCAGAAAUCCCACCUCCUCCCCUUGCACCCAGGUGUGUGUGGAGCUGGCGGCAGCUGCAGCGAGGGCUGAUUCCUCACCGGCUGGCUCUGUGCAUCCUCCCAGCCCUGGUCCCCAGCCCUCCCGAGGACAGUUCUGCACACUCCCUGAGACCCUUUACAGGAGCUCAUGUUGACCUAAUCAGCCAAUGUCAUCGUUUGUUCUUAAGGUGUGAAAACCAAAGCUAAGGGAGACAAAAUGACUGCAUCAAGGCCACACCCAGUGAGGGUAGAGACAGGACCAUACCUGAGCUAUCUGACUCCAGGCUCUGCAAUGGAAGUGGCGUCAUUCGUCUGGGGUAAUACCCAAGGUGGCAUCUCUAUCUGGAUGGUGGCUUGUUGCCUGCUUCUUUACUG
rnacentral:lncRNA from 10 species